GUUAAGUCAGGCAACCGAGCGAGACCCACGCCCACAGUUGCCAGCGUACUCUCUGGAGUGACGGGUACACUGUGGGGACCGCCGCUGCUAAAGCGGAGGAAGGAAUGGGCAACCGGUAGGUCAGUAUGCCCCGAAUAUCCCGGGCUACACGCGAGCUACAAUGGUUGGUACAAUGGGUAUCUACCCCGAAAGGGGACGGGAAUCUCCUAAAACCAAUCUUAGUUCGGAUUGAGGGCUGCAACUCGCCCUCAUGAAGCUGGAAUCCGUAGUAAUCGCGUUUCAACAGAACGCGGUGAAUACGUCCCUGCUCCUU
rnacentral:rRNA from 1 species